rnacentral:misc_RNA from 1 species
CAAAUAGAGAGGUCAAAGACCCCUUACCCGUAGUGUUUUCCGCAUCCCCGAAGUCAAGCUACGGUCGUGGGCCGCGAAUGCAUAGCGUUUUGUAUGCAAAUCGGAACACGAAUUUCGCUUCGAGGUUCACCCGAAGCCGCACCGCGUAAACGGGCAGCGAUAGGAGAACUUGGUAAGGAUUGGCCCCGGAAUUCCAUCGACGUAGGUAUGCAGCACAGGAAACCAAAAACUCGGCCAAGGCAUACGAAGCUCUUGUGCCGACAACGAAGAGGAGAGCAC